AACCCUUGUUAAUUGGUGUCACAAUCUAGUAACUGCCAUCUCCCAAGCUCACUUGGCCAGAGAUGGUCAACAGCAAACAUGCUGAGCUGCUUCUCCACUUUGAGAGGCCACCGCCUCAGCACUCCAGGUAGAGAAAGUAUCUGAAAGAUUAAAAAGAUGGCUGACUCCAUCCAGAUGCUGCAGGCCAUGCUUCAGCAGCCACACAACUGUCACAGACACCCCAGGGACGGUCUCCCCAGAAGUGACUACCAGUGACCUACCAAAAUCAAGGGAUCGUUUUCAAUUAAAUGGACAUCCAAAAGGUGACCCCAGAGUGAUGAUCAGUCAGUCACAGAAGAUGAGUAAUUCAGACCACAACCACCCCCGUGCUUUCUUCAAAACACAGGGCAGUGUGAGGACACAUACUGCUGAAGUUGAGCCCCAAAGGAACAAAUACUACUUACCACUAAACCUCCCAACUCUUUGAGACUCCCUUAGCUGAACCCAAAGACACUCAGUGUCAGUGCUGGUGAGAAGUCUCCAAAUUAAAGAUUCCUCUGCCCUCCUUAAGACAGAAUUCAACAUUCUCCCAGCUAGAAAAUGAACUUACCAGGAAAUAGGCUCAGCACUUUGAUGGUGUUGCUCAAGUUUAUGCAACAGCUGUCUUUGUGUGGUGCUGAUACAAAUAUGAAACUUUUCUGCAAAAUAACAUUUUGGAGGACCUAGAUCGCACUGUCCCUCUGUGUGCUGCUGUUGAUGGCCAUAAACAUCUCUCCAACCUGGAGUUCUGGGCUGUACAUGGUGAGGGUUAAAUAACAGUAUCAUUAAGUGGACUGUUACUGAUAGGCUCAGGGCAGUAAGUCAUACAGAAUAUUUUUUCUAUUUCCUGUGCAACAUUAACAAUUGAG
rnacentral:lncRNA from 1 species